UUACGACCACAUCACGUUGAAACACUGUUUUCCGUACAAUCACCGAAGUUAAGCAACGUCAAGCCUGCCGUGUAGUUAGAUGGGUGACCGCUUGGUAAUACCAGGUGCUGUAAG